rnacentral:rRNA from 1 species
GACGAACGCUGGCGGCGUGCCUAAUACAUGCAAGUCGAGCGCAGGAAACUGACGGAACUCUUCGGAGGGAAGGCAGUGGAAUGAGCGGCGGACGGGUGAGUAACACGUAAGGAACCUGCCUCAAGGAUUGGGAUAACUCCGAGAAAUCGGAGCUAAUACCGGAUAGUUCAACGGACCGCAUGGUCAGCUGAUGAAAGGCGCUCCGGCGUCACCUUGAGAUGGCCUUGCGGUGCAUUAGCUAGUUGGUGGGGUAACGGCCCACCAAGGCGACGAUGCAUAGCCGACCUGAGAGGGUGAUCGGCCACACUGGGACUGAGACACGGCCCAGACUCCUACGGGAGGCAGCAGUAGGGAAUCUUCCACAAUGGACGAAAGUCUGAUGGAGCAACGCCGCGUGAGUGAUGAAGGUUUUCGGAUCGUAAAACUCUGUUGUAAGGGAAGAACACGUACGAGAGGAAAUGCUCGUACCUUGACGGUACCUUACGAGAAAGCCACGGCUAACUACGUGCCAGCCGCCGCUGUAA